rnacentral:rRNA from 1 species
UACAGAGGUCUCAAGCGUUGUUCGGAUUCAUUGGGCGUAAAGGGUGCGUAGGCGGCGCGGUAAGUCGGGUGUGAAAUCUUGGAGCUUAACUCCGAAACUGCAUUCGAUACUGCCGUGCUUGAGGACUGGAGAGGAGACUGGAAUUUACGGUGUAGCAGUGAAAUGCGUAGAUAUCGUAAGGAAGACCAGUGGCGAAGGCGGGUCUCUAGACAGUUCCUGACGCUGAAGUACGAAGGCCAGGGGAGCAAACGGG